UAAAUUUCUUUAUUAAUUUUUUAUAUAUAAUUUAUAUUAAAUAUAAAAAUAUAUUUUUUAAAUAAAAAGACGAUAAGACCCUAUUAAAUUUUACUUAUAGUUUAACUGGGGAAGUUUUAAAAAUAAAAUUUUUUAUAAAAAUAAAAAUAAAUCUAAUAAAAUUAAAAUUAAAUUAAAUUACUAUAGGGAUAACAGCAUUAUAUUUUUUAAAAGUUCAUAUUAAAAAAAAUGAUUGUGACCUCGAUGUUGAAUUAUAUUUUCUUUAUUAAUGCAAUAAUUAUAAAAGUAGAUCUGUUCGAUCUUUAAAAUAUUACAUGAUUUGAGUUCAAACCGGUGUAAACCAGGUUGGUUUCUAUCUUUUUAUAAAUUCAUAUAUAUAUAUAUAUAUAUAUAUAUAUAAAUUUUUCAAGUACGAAAGGAAAAAAAAAUUUUUAUUUUAAUUAAUUAGCAAUUAAUAUGCAUUAGAUUUAGAAUCUAAAUAAACUAUUAUU
rnacentral:misc_RNA from 1 species